UAAACCAAUGGGCGACGCGCUCUCAGGCUUUUCCAUAGUCACGUGGUCCUCGCUCAGACACACUAUAGACACCUUUUGGCCAGUUGGCUUUUGUGUGUUGGAACAUAAAUAGUAUGAUUUUUUGGGGAUUUAUACAUCUAAAAACCUUCAUUUAGUGCACACCAAUAGACUGAACGACUGUGGGUGGCGGGGGUGGCGCGUAUUAUUGGAUUUAAAUGAAAUAAGCACGCUAAAUGCACGUUAACGAGAUAACAGUUAGCCUGAUCUGUGAAGCUCGUCUUUUCUGAAGGGUAACUCCGGUUUGGAUUAGAGAGCGGCCGAGAGGAGGAGGUCCGGUGAAGCGAUGAGAAGCUCCAGAGAUGGCGAGGGAAAGAGCAGCUUUCUUUAGCCAGUUUGAGCAGGAGAUAAUCCUGAAGACCUUUGAGGAGUACAAGAACAUCAUAACUGCUAAAUGCAACACAGCAGCAGCUUCCAGGUCCAGGGUGGAAGCAUGGCAGAAGAUAGCAGAGAGGUUAAACGUAUCCAACCCCAAUAACGUGAAAAGAACCUGGCAGCAGGUCAAAGUCAAGUAUAAGAACAUCGUACAAUGUGCGAACAGGAAAAGAGCGCAGAAGCAGAUGCUUGGAGGGGGAGUAUCUGCGUCCGGAUUCACCCCCGCGGAGGAGCUGGCACUGUGGCAGAUCAGAGGAAGACCCAUGAUGGAUGGCAUUGCCUGGGCCGGGCCUUCGGAACAGACUGGAUCAUGUGUUCGGAGCCCCAGUUCCACAGAGGCAGAAAGUUCAGGUCCGCUUUUACAGCAUGGGCCCACCAUUAUUGACAGCGCAGAAGAACCUAUCGAUCAUUCUGAUUCAGACCACGAUGAGAAGAACAUAGUAGUGUGUUCUCAUUCUGACCAGGUGAAUGAUACAUUCAUCAGCCCUGAAGAACCCGGUCCUUCUGGCCCAUUUCCACAUACUGAUGAAGAGAGUGACGAGGACGUGACCUCGCUCUACAAACGCUACCUCAAACAGGAGAUCGCUUACCGACAGCUGAAGAUGAAGAAGCUGGAGAAGGAGAUCCAGUUGCUUGAUAAAAAGCUGGAUGUGAGUUAGAGCUCGUCAGGAUGUCAGUAGCCCUAUCUGGACGGGAAUAAAAAAUAUAUUAUUUUUUUACA
rnacentral:lncRNA from 1 species